CACUAAAUACUACUGACCAAAGCUGCAACCAAGAGUUGCUCAAUAAGAUAACAGUAUGAUUGGCAAUUGUGGAAGAUUUCUCCACAGUUCCUAAUAAAAGGAUAAAAAGAUAAAGGUCAUUUAUCUAUUCUUAAAGGUCAUUUAUCCAAACCUGUACAUAUGGGUCCUACUCAUGCUGACUACAGAUUGAUUAGGUAAAGAAGACUCUCCCAGCCAUCCCCAACAAUCUCACAGAGUGAAUUUGGUGUUAGAAGAAGACAAAGUUUUCUGGAAGGAAAAUGGACGAUGGAAAGGGUCAUAAGAUACUUUUAUCAGCUUUUACCAACGCACACAUUGUUUCAAAAUGUGUAUAUGAUAACAGCUGCAAGGACUUUACUGUUUGCAUUUAAAAACCACAUUGGAAAAAGUGUGUGAUCCCUUCUAUGGAAGAAUUGUAAAACUGGAGACAGGGCAGGAGAGCCAUACAUCAACCAAGUUGUCUCACAUCUAGCCUUUGAGUGAUCAGAAAGCAGUCAGAGGUUGAUUUUAAAAUAUAAAUCCAAAGCAUAUAUUCAUUGGAGAAGCGGAUGUGGAAGCCAAAGGGAAAGCCAGCUAAAAGAUGUUAAAAUAUGCUUCUGGAGGAAAAUGUUCAUUGACAUUUGUGCAUGA